GAUGAACGCUGGCGGCGUGCCUAAUACAUGCAAGUCGAACGCUGAAGGAGGAGCUUGCUUCUCCGGAUGAGUUGCGAACGGGUGAGUAACGCGUAGGUAACCUGCCUUGUAGCGGGGGAUAACUAUUGGAAACGAUAGCUAAUACCGCAUAACAGUAGAUAUCGCAUGAUAUCUGCUUGAAAGUUGCAAUUGCAUCGCUACCAGAUGGGCCUGCGUUGUAUUAGCUAGUUGGUGAGGUAACGGCUCACCAAGGCGACGAUACAUCGCCGACCUGAGAGGGGGGUCGGCCACACUGGGACGGAGACACGGCCCAGACGCCUACGGGAGGCAGCAGUAGGGAAUCUUGGGGAAUGGACGGAAGACUGACCGAGCAAGGCCGCGUGAGUGAAGAAGGUUUUCGGAUCGUAAAGCUCUGUUGUAAGGGAAGAACGAGUGUGAGAGUGGAAAGUUCACACUGUGACGGUAACUUACCAGAAAGGGACGGCUAACUACGUG
rnacentral:rRNA from 1 species